UAACGGCAGUACGGCUAACUUUAUAACGCAGUCGCUUUGCAGUAAGCUAAAAUUACCUACACGUUCCGUAAGUUCUGAAAUUAAUGGCAUUAAUAAUCAAUCGUUAACUAGUACCCAAGCAUGCAACCUAACAAUCCAGUCCCAGUGUUGUAGGUAUAGAACGAAUAUAGAUUGUUAUAUAUUACCGGAGAUAACUAAAAUACUUCCUUCUACUUUUAUAGACGUCAGUCAACUUUCGAUGCCCGCAGAUCUACAUCUAGCUGACCCUACGUUUAACAUACCGUCAGUAGUCGAUAUUCUCGUCGGGGCUGAAGUUUUCUGGGAUGUAAUAUACAAUAAAUCAAUUAACCUAGGGAAACACAAGCCUAAGUUAGUCAAAUCAAAAUUAGGUUGGAUUGUUACAGGCCAAUUACCGAUACAGUCAACAUCAAAUUUUACGCAUUCUUGUAACUUGUCUAUAAGAGAUCUGGACAACAAUUUGAAAAGGGUUAGCCAUCUUCCAAAUCUACUUGCCAUUACAACGCAUCACAACUAUUAAAUCUAGCUGGAUUGAAUCGCGAGUCAGUGUCGACUAUGCCGGACCUAUACUGAUAGCUGACCGGAAAGGACGAGGGUAUCUGUCUAAGGAAGGCU